GAUGAACGCUGGCGGCGUGCCUAAUACAUGCAAGUCGAGCAAACGGACGAGAAGCUUGCUUCUCUGAUGUUAGCGGCGGACGGGUGAGUAACACGUGGAUAACCUACCUAUAAGACUGGGAUAACUUCGGGAAACCGGAGCUAAUACCGGAUAAUAUUUUGAACCGCAUGGUUCAAAAGUGAAAGACGGUCUUGCUGUCACUUAUAGAUGGAUCCGCGCUGCAUUAGCUAGUUGGUAAGGUAACGGCUUACCAAGGCAACGAUGCAUAGCCGACCUGAGAGGGUGAUCGGCCGCACUGGAACUGAGACACGGUCCAGACUCCUACGGGAGGCAGCAGUAGGGAAUCUUCCGCAAUGGGCGAAAGCCUGACGGAGCAACGCCGCGUGAGUGAUGAAGGUCUUCGGAUCGUAAAACUCUGUUAUUAGGGAAGAACAUAUGUGUAAGUAACUGUGCACAUCUUGACGGUACCUAAUCAGAAAGCCACGGCUAACUACGUG
rnacentral:rRNA from 1 species